GGUGUAGCUCAGUGAUAGAGUAUAUGCUUCGCAUGCAUACAGACCUCGGUUUAACCCCCAGCACC
rnacentral:tRNA from 1 species